rnacentral:rRNA from 1 species
GCAAGUCGAACGGCAGCGGGGACUUCGGUCCGCCGGCGAGUGGCGAACGGGUGAGUAAUGCAUCGGAACGUGCCUAUCAGUGGGGGAUAACGCUUCGAAAGGAGUGCUAAUACCGCAUAUUCUCUGAGGAGGAAAGCAGGGGACCUUAGGGCCUUGCGCUGAUAGAGCGGCCGAUGUCGGAUUAGCUAGUUGGUGAGGUAAAGGCUCACCAAGGCGACGAUCCGUAGCGGGUCUGAGAGGAUGAUCCGCCACACUGGGACUGAGACACGGCCCAGACUCCUACGGGAGGCAGCAGUGGGGAAUUUUGGACAAUGGGCGAAAGCCUGAUCCAGCCAUGCCGCGUGAGUGAAGAAGGCCUUCGGGUUGUAAAGCUCUUUUGUCCGGGAGGAAAUCCUGGCCUCUAAUACAGGUCGGGGAUGACAGUACUGGAAGAAUAAGCACCGGCUAACUACGUGCCAGCAGCCGCGGUAAUACGUAGGGUGCAAGCGUUAAUCGGAAUUACUGGGCGUAAAGC